CCUACGGGUGGCUGCAGUGGGGAAUUUUGGACAAUGGGGGCAACCCUGAUCCAGCCAUGCCGCGUGCGGGAAGAAGGCCUUCGGGUUGUAAACCGCUUUCGGCCGGAACGAAAUCGCCGGGGAGAACAUCCCCGGUGGAUGACGGUACCGGAAGAAGAAGCACCGGCUAACUACGUGCCAGCAGCCGCGGUAAUACGUAGGGGACGAGCGUUGAUCGGAAUGGGUGGGGGUAAAGCGUGCGCAGGGGGGUGAAAGCCCCGGGCGUAACCUGGGAACUGCGUUUGAGACUGGCGGGCUGGAGUGCGGAAGAGGGAAGUGGAAUUCCACGUGUAGCAGUGAAAUGCGUAGAGAUGUGGAGGAACACCGAUGGCGAAGGCAGCCUCCUGGUCUAGCACUGACGCUCAUGCGCGAAAGCGUGGGGAGCAAACAGGAUUAGAUACCCCAGUAGUC
rnacentral:rRNA from 1 species